rnacentral:rRNA from 1 species
UACGGGGGGAGCAAGCGUUGUUCGGAUUUACUGGGCGUAAAGGGCGCGUAGGCGGUCGUGACAAGUCACUUGUGAAAUCUCCGGGCUUAACUCGGAACGGUCAAGUGAUACUGUCGGACUAGAGUACAGAAGGGGCAACUGGAAUUCUCGGUGUAGCGGUGAAUGCGUAGAUAUCGAGAGGAACACCUGCGGCGAAGGCGGGUUGCUGGGCUGAUACUGACGCUGAGGCGCGAAGCCAGGGAGCGAACGGG